rnacentral:rRNA from 1 species
CCUACGGGCGGCAGCAGUGGGGGAUAUUGGACAAUGGGGGGAACCCUGAUCCAGCGACGCCGCGUGAGUGAAGAAGUAUUUCGGUAUGUAAAGCUCUGUCAGCAGGGAAGAAAGAAAUGACGGUACCUGACCAAGAAGCCCCGGCUAACUACGUGCCAGCAGCCGCGGUAAUACGUAGGGGGCAAGCGUUAUCCGGAAUUACUGGGUGUAAAGGGAGCGUAGACGGUUAAGUAAGUCUGGAGUGAAAGGCCGGGGCCCAACCCCGGGACUGCUCUGGAAACUAUUGAACUUGAGUGCAGGGGAGGUAAGCGGAAUUCCUAGUGUAGCGGUGACAUGCGUAGAUAUUAGGAGGAACACCAGUGGCGAAGGCGGCUUACUGGACUGUAACUGACGUUGAGGCUCGAAAGCGUGGGGAGCAAACAGGAUUAGAUACCCCUGUAGUC